rnacentral:rRNA from 1 species
AUACGUAGGUGGCAAGCGUUGUCCGGAAUUAUUGGGCGUAAAGCGCAUGUAGGCGGUGCCUUAAGUCUGUCGUGAAACUGCGGGGCCUAACCCCGUAUGGCGAUGGAAACUGUGGCACUUGAGUGCAGGAGAGGAAAGGGGAACUCCCAGUGUAGCGGUGAAAUGCGUAGAUAUUGGGAAGAACACCGGUGGCGAAGGCGCCUUUCUGGACUGUGUCUGACGCUGAGAUGCGAAGGCCAGGGUAGCGAACGGGAUUAGAUACCCCGGUAGUCCUGGCCGUAAACGAUGGGUACUAGGUGUGGGAGGUAUCGACCCCUUCCGUGCCGGAGUUAACGCAAUAAGUACCCCGCCUGGGGAGUACGGCCGCAAGGCUUAAACUCAAAUGAAUUGACGGGG